CUCCAGCCAGUCUACCUGGUUCUACAAGGUGAUCCAAAGAAGUCAUUGCUUGAAAGGCAAUGGAGUUUUCAAGAGGUCAUCACUUACACUCUGAAUACAGUCUCACCAUCAUGAAUACUUGUCUUCUGGGGUACACAUGGGCACACAUAUCCCAAAGUGUGCCUGUGGAAGGCAGAGGAUAAAUCUGUAGCAUCAGUUCCUUCCUUCAGCCGUAUGAGUUUCAGGAAUCCACCUCAGACCACCAGACUCACUUCUAAGUGCAAUGCUUUCUGUGACCAGUGUCCUCCCUCUGAAUGCCUGGAAGGACCACCAUGCUUGCAGAUACAGCUCCUACAGUGUGAUCUGGCACAAGGCUAAGAAGAGUAUCUUCAAAGUGCCAGUUUCCAUACCUGUCACUGGAACAUCUUGACAUCUCAGUGUCUCCAGAGAAUGACAUGGCCACUUCACAUUGCUUAUUCACGUGUCACAGUAUGCGCUUGGAGCCAGCCUUGGUGGUGCCAUGUGAGUAGCUUCUCUAAACAAGCAACUGCAGAAUGUGCAUCUGUGGACUUAAGUGUCAGCACUGGCCUGGAGAAGGAUGUUGGGAAGUCCCAAUGGCCUCCAGGCAUAAGGGUACCGAUUCCUCCUGGACACAAACUGCCAGCUGUUCUGAUUUAUUACCUCCAGGUAAUAAAUGAUGUAUACAAUGAUGACUUCCAGUUUUCCCACAUUUAGACUAAAAAUGCCAGUGCCUCUUUUUCCCCAACAGAGUCCAGUGACAAACUUCAUAGGUAGAUUCGUUGGUACAAGAUUCCUUCCUAGAAAACCUCCAGCUGUGUGUGCGGUGUGUGGCUUGGAAGACAGCUCCCCUGUCUUUCUGUCUCCCCUAGAGGAGGCCUCGAGUUCCUCAGUGCUACAUCCAGGAGGCCAUAAUCAUUUGGGAUUCUCGUAAAGCAGUGAACCUGUUGGCCAACCCCAGCAGUUCAAGGAAAAGGAUUUAGAACUGCACCAAGCAAUACCCGCUGGCAUGGUGUGUGUUCCUGGCCACAGUCUCCAGGUACUUCAGCAGGCUGCAUACUGUUGAUUCUGUGAUCAGCUUCGAGAAUGAGGAGGACCAUCAAUCUUAGAAUAAAAAUGUGCUAUGUCAACGUAGAGAUGUGCAGGCUCCUUAAUGCAGCUAUGGGUGCCCAGUGUCAUUUAUCAAGCUUAACAGUGUGUGCAAAUACCUACCUAAAUUUCUGAUAAAGACCAGAGCAAUGAAGCCACAAACAGCACCCGUGGCUAACACAUGCUAUGCAGAGCCCUGGGGAAGUGGGGUGAAAGGAGAAGGAAGACAAAUACUUUAUUCAAAUGAGUAGUGACCAGGAAUUUUGUAUCUCAAAG
rnacentral:lncRNA from 1 species